UGAGUAACACGUGGGCAAUCUGCCCUGCACUUCGGGAUAAGCCUGGGAAACUGGGUCUAAUACCGGAUAGGACCUUUAGACGCAUGUCUUUUGGUGGAAAGCUUUUGCGGUGUGGGAUGGGCCCGCGGCCUAUCAGCUUGUUGGUGGGGUGAUGGCCUACCAAGGCGACGACGGGUAGCCGGCCUGAGAGGGUGUCCGGCCACACUGGGACUGAGAUACGGCCCAGACUCCUACGGGAGGCAGCAGUGGGGAAUAUUGCACAAUGGGCGCAAGCCUGAUGCAGCGACGCCGCGUGGGGGAUGACGGCCUUCGGGUUGUAAACCUCUUUCACCAUCGACGAAGGUCCGGGUUUUCUCGGAUUGACGGUAGGUGGAGAAGAAGCACCGGCCAACUACGUGCCAGCAGCCGCGGUAAUACGUAGGGUGCGAGCGUUGUCCGGAAUUACUGGGCGUAAAGAGCUCGUAGGUGGUUUGUCGCGUUGUUCGUGAAAUCUCACGGCUUAACUGUGAGCGUGCGGGCGAUACGGGCAGACUAGAGUACUGCAGGGGAGACUGGAAUUCCUGGUGUAGCGGUGGAAUGCGCAGAUAUCAGGAGGAACACCGGUGGCGAAGGCGGGUCUCUGGGCAGUAACUGACGCUGAGGAGCGAAAGCGUGGGGAGCGAACAGGAUUAGAUACCCUGGUAGUCCACGCCGUAAACGGUGGGUACUAGGUGUGGGUUUCCUUCCUUGGGAUCCGUGCCGUAGCUAACGCAUUAAGUACCCCCGCCUGGGGGAGUACGGGCCGCAAGGCUAAAACUCAAAGGAAUUGACGGGGGGCCCGCACAA
rnacentral:rRNA from 1 species